UACAGAGGGGGCAAGCGUUAUUCGGAAUUAUUGGGCGUAAAGGGCGCGUAGGCGGCCUGGCAAGUGGAAGGUGAAAUCCCUCGGCUUAACCGAGGAACUGCCCUCCAAACUGCUUGGCUUGAGUCCGGGAGAAGUGAGUGGAAUUCCCAGUGUAGCGGUGAAAUGCGUAGAUAUUGGGAGGAACACCAGUGGCGAAGGCGGCUCACUGGACCGGAACUGACGCUGAGGCGCGAAAGCGUGGGGAGCAAACGGG
rnacentral:rRNA from 1 species